CUUUGUUCCAAGAUUGAUUAAACGACUCGUGUGUUUCUGAUCGUCCUGAGAAUUGCUGUGAAGCUAGAUAACAUGCUAACGCUGUGUUCUGAACAUAGUUUGACAAGUUUAGUCGACAUAUAAUAUGUAAUUUCGACGUUUUGGUGCGCACCCACUUGACUUUUUGGCUGCAUUUCAACCGAAAUAUGUCGUGUUUGAUCACCGAAAGACACAGACUUCCAAACUAAAGCUGUUUUUGGUAUAAACCCUUCCAGGUCUUCUGAUGGAAGAACAGCAAAGCAUCAGUAGAACACGCCCUUACUCUCCUGGAAAGCGAUGGCUGGCAACAUCUGACUCCGUACUUCAGGCAGCUGACACAGAUCAAGCACUUUCUGCACUUCAGCUUCGAUGCUCUGGAGCCUGGUGUUGUUGUCACCAAGGAGCGUUCAGACUCAGUCGGGACCAGGUUUCAGCUGAUGCACAGCGCUGAUGUCCUUCCACCCAUAGACGGUCUGCCUGUACAAGCACCACCUGGUCACAACUAGACAAAUGUAUAUUUUUGAGAAGAUCAGGUAGUUUUGAGAUGAAGAAGCCAUGGACAUCACAUGCCCUGCACCAAAGUCAAGGACAGGACAGAUACUGGCUCUCAGAAUAUAGAUUUCCUUGUUCAUGCGUGGUGCGGACAGACCAGUUCAUCACUGGGGAUUUCAAGAGUGAAGAUCACAGAGUGUGCACAACAAGUUCGACUGAGCUUUGGAUGAAGGACUUCCACAAGGCUGCCAUCUCCAAAGUUCAUUCAAAAAUGCAACAGUUCUGAACAGGGUUUGAUUUAGUAUUUGUUGUUUUAAUUAUUGACAUUUUGUUAAUUAUCUUUCAACUUCCAUUGGUUAAUAUUUUGCCCAGUUACCACUUGGUUCAUGUAAAUAGAUCAUGUAGUUGGUCCCUUUAAACAUCCUAAUGUCAACAUCCCCAUAGUGUUCACAUUUCUCUUGUUUAAACGUUGUAGCUACAUAAAAAUAUUAAACAAUUUAUUACGGAAAAA
ensembl:lncRNA